UACAGAGGGUGCGAGCGUUAAUCGGAAUUACUGGGCGUAAAGCGCGCGUAGGCGGCUUUGCAAGUCGGGUGUGAAAUCCCCAGGCUUAACCCGGGAACUGCAUUCGAGACUGCAUUGCUAGAGUAUGGGAGAGGGAAGUGGAAUUUCCGGUGUAGCGGUGAAAUGCGUAGAUAUCAGGAGGAACACCGGUGGCGAAGGCGGGUCUCUGGGCAACAACUGACGCUGAGGAGCGAAAGCGUGGGGAGCGAACAGG
rnacentral:rRNA from 1 species